GAGAUAAAGUUGCUCAUCCUAGAACAUGACAUGAUUGCUCAAAAUAACAACUCUGUACAUAUGUGCCCUCCUUUACUUCCUUCCCUGUGGUGGAGUUAAAAUUAGCCCAGUAAACCGAACAAGAAAACUAGGCAAAACUAAUGUGCAAGAAGGGGUGACCUCUUCUUCCCUCCUAAGCAGAAGGUUAGGUAGAUAAGGAGAGAUCCUCUUUUGAACGCAACUGAGGGUUGUGGGGCAGGCCACUCGCCUGUAAACAGCUGCUGGGAAUACACACCAGCCCAAUAAUCCUACAAUGGAAUGGGACAUUGUUGUUCUAAAGUACUUGAGUUUAAUAUGCUAAAGGUGAGUUCAGUUAGUUAUGUGAUAUUUAUUGAUUGGAAAUCUCUUAGCUGGAAAACAUGUGGCAAUAGAUUAAAGAGUGGGUCGCACGGCCGGAUUAUCGACCCCAAUUUAGCCUCAACAAUUGUAGGUUGGCUAUGAUUCUAGUAAUGGCUACAAAGAUAAUCUUAGCAGAUAUUCAUGCCAUGCGUGGCGUCGUUAGACUGAUCUCGGUUGCUCGAAAGGACACCCGACCUCAAAUUGGGGAUGUUCAACAUGUUGAUUUUUUGGAUUGAUAGUGUGUGGUGUCACCCAAGGGGAAACGGGCAAGCAGCCGGUUGACAGUGGCGUGCAGCCAAUCAGAAAGCAAGGUGACGAGGCGGCGCAGAGGCGCGGUGGAGAAUCAAAUAUCAAAACAAUCAUUGCGCAACAGAGACUCCGUGCUCCUUUAAUGCCUUUUCUUUUUGACAAAACUGUCGCUUCUUUGUCCACUGUUAUUACUUUGUUUAUUCUGAAAUCACAUUUAAUCUUGGUUUUGCGAGAAUUUUCAUUCGACGUGAGAAUAUCUAUGAAUGAAAUCCUUUUGUGUGUGAUGUAUUGCGCUUUCCGUGUGGCUGCACAUCACAAAUGGUACAUUCAAAACUGUUAUACCCAUGAUUUUCUUCUCAGCACAUCCACCUCACACUUGGGUUGGCAUCCUGUAUGGAUUUGGCAUUUUUUCCCGUGUGUUUCCUCCAAGUGCCCUGGCUUCCUCUCACUUUUAACAUGCAUGCUAGGACAAUUAAAGACUAACUGUCCGAGUCAUCUGUCUUAUGGCUGGGUGGUACAUCGGUAUUACGAGUUAUACCAAUAUAUUCCAGAAAGAGAUACGUAUUUGGGACAAUCCCGCUAUACCGAUAUAUAUACCGUAUUUUCUGGACUAUAAAUCGCUCCGGAGUACAAAUCGCACCAGCCAUAAAAUGCAUAAUGAAGAAGAAAAAAACAUAUAAGUCGCACCGGAGUACAA